GGUAGUUUUACAAAAAAGGCCAAAAUGUGCCGCAACCUAAGCUUGUUUCCAAAAUAAAACGAACAUUAAAAACAGAAAUACUAAACUAAAACCUAAGCAUACUGACAGUUAUGCAACUUUGGACUUCUUCCCUUUCGAUGCAGUAGAUGUUGGACCCUUCCUCUUUCUAGCACCAAAUGUUGAUGCACCAGCAGACCCAACAGCUAGGGGUGUGCAGAAUUUGACCGGGUCAAGAAUACGGUCCGGAUCCAAACCGGAAUUAUCCGGUCCGGUCCGGACUGGUGGAUUCAGGACCGGACACCGGUCCUAAAGAAUUUACGAUUCCGGAUUUAUGACCGGACCGGAUAAAAACCGGAAAAAUCCGAUCUGGACCCGGAAUCCGGAUUUUUGACAAAAAAUGAUAUGAAAUAGGUUUGAGAAGUAAAAACCCUAACAAAUAGUUAGCCGCCACCCAUCCAUUAUCACCUAGCGUCCACCGUCCACCACCAGUCACUACCUUCACAGAGACCCAUAAGAUCGUCGAUCUACUUCUACUCCCUCUUUGAAGCUUCACGCAUUGAUGCUAAUUGUUUGGUAAAUUGAGAGAAAGUAUUAAGUUUUGAGUUUUAAACUUCAUAAAUCAUGCUUCUUGAGUUCUUGUUAUACUCUUUUUUAGUAUUGAUCUUGUUAUAGGUAAUAUGAAAAUAUGAAAUUAUGGUUUUGAAGUUUUGGAUCUCGGUUAGAUCUUUGGUUUGGUGUUCUAGAUCUUUUACAAAUUAUAUUUUUUGAAAAAGUUUCACAACUGUUGUGAAGUAUUAAUGGAAUUCAUUUAACUUGUGAUUUUGGAUCUUGUUAUACUCAGUACGGAAUAUGAUUGUUUGAUCUCUAUAUUGUUUAGUGCAAGGUGAGAUUAUUGAUUAACUCAUCUUAAUUUUCCGGAUUUGAAGUUUGCAUUAGUCUACUUUUGAAGUGGUUUUUUUCACUAAAAAAUAAAUUUGUAAUACGCAGUUGAAUAUUUUCCGAUCCACCGGACUAAAACCCGGAUCGAACCGGAAUUACCAGGUACGGACCGAACAUGACCGGGAUUAUUCCGGUCCGGUCUCCGCACGCAGAAAAUUCGACAUUCUGGAUCCGGACCAUUCGGGUUCCGGUCCGGACCGUCCCGGUUCUAGACCGGUGCACAGUCCUACCAGCACCAGCAACAACAACUUCGAUUCCUUCCUCUGUUUUACAGUGGAACCUCCUUUACAAGUUCUUGAGUUCUGGCCAACUUGCUUACACUUCACAAUGGUGUUUCUUCCCCCCCUUUUCUUCUCAUGAGCACCCAUUCUUCUCUGCUUGGCUGGUCUGCCAGCUGCUCUUCUCAUUAGUGGGGGGAGAAUCAUAGGUAGGUCAAAUGUGGGCCACUGUGUUGAGUCAGGCAUGGGGUGAAUAUGUUCUGAGUAUGUGAGCUUAUAGGUUGCCCCUUUGAAGUAUGGAGAAACAAAGUCAGUAGGCUUGAGUCUUUGAUGGUAUAUGACCUUAAGAGCAUGCUUGCAAGGUAUAUCACACCCUUGCCAUUUACCACAACCACACACUCCAACAUCUAGUUGAUAUGUUCAUAUUUUGUAGUGUUUUUACCCCCGUCCCUUAGUACUUUUUGAUCUCAAAUGAGCUCUUCGGAGCGAUUUUUAGUACUAAUGUGCUCCUUGUAGUGUGUUUGUAGUUUCAGGUUCAUCAUUGUAGGAAUUAGCAUAUUUUUGUGCAUUUCCUACUCAUUGGAAUCAAUACAAGAGAUUAUGUACUUUCGAGAGCACAAACAUUAAGUUGGAAGAGUUUUGAAGCAAAGCGAAUAACGAAAGAAGUAGAAAAAUGACUAUAGUCCACUAUUAUAAUCAUAACUCAAGUUCUACAACUCCAAAUGAAGUAAUUCCAAUUGGGUUGGAUUCUAGACUUCAAUAGCUUUCCAAAAAGUGGUUACUCGCCUAAUUCCGACGAAUAACGAAGGAGAUAUGGCGUUUUGAAGAUUGAGGAUCGUGCAGUUUCGACACGCGCCCGAUCGGGCGGUCAUUCUGGGCGCUGUUCUGGGCAUUUCGCAACCGCCCGAUCGGGCGAAAUUUCGCCCGAUCUGGCCGACUAUCGAGCAGUUUGCCCUAUCGGGCGAAGCGCCGCCCGAUCGGGUGACGCCAACCCUGAUGCUUUUUCGCGUUUUUUCUUUCCGGUUUUUGGCUUGUAUUUUGGGCAAACUAUAAAUACUAGCCCUUUAUUUUUAGUAGACACUUUAUAUUCUAGUAUUGAACCUUAGUAUUAUUUUCCUUAGCCUAGUUUUCUCUCUAAUUUAUGCAAAAACACUUAGUUUAAUUCUCAAUAAAAAUUCAAGCUUUCAAUUC